AUGGCCGCCGAGCAGGUCGCCAAGCCGGCCACCCUCCCGCCCUAUCCCGAGAUGAUACUGGCGGCCAUCGCGGCGCUCAACGACAAGAACGGGUCGAACAAGUCCGCCAUCUCCAAGUACAUCGAGGGCAAGUACGGCGACCUCCCCAAGGAGCACGGCGCGCUGCUGACGGCGCAUCUGGUGCGCAUGAAGGAGUCCGGCCAGCUCUUCUUCCUCAAGAACAACUACUUCCGCACGGACGCGCCGGACGCCCCGCCCAAGCGGGGCCGCGGCCGCCCGCGCAAGCCCAUAGACCCCAACGCGCCGCCGCCGCCGCCCAAGUCCGCGUCGCCGCGCCCCCGCGGACGCCCCGCCAAGCCCAAGGACCCCGAGGCCGAGGCCGCCAACCCGCCCAAGAAGGCCAAGACCGUCAACCCGCCCAAGAAGGCCAAGACCGCUCCCGCCCCUGCCGUCGACGGAUCCGCCAAGCGCGGCCGCGGCCGUCCGCCCAAGGCGCGCCCCGCCGAGCCGGCGGCGGCCUGA
rnacentral:rRNA from 1 species